rnacentral:rRNA from 1 species
AUUGAACGCUGGCGGCAGGCCUAACACAUGCAAGUCGAGCGGAUGAAGGGAGCUUUCUCCUGGCUUCAGCGGCGGGCGGGUGAGUAAUGCCUACGUAUCUGCCCUGUAGUUGGGGAUAACGUCCGGAAACGGGCGCUAAUCUCGCAUCCGUCCUGAGGUAGAAAGGGGGGGAUCUUCGGACCUCACCCUACCAGAUGAGCCUAGGUCGGAUUAGCUAGUUGGUGGGGUAAAGGCCUACCAAGGCGACGAUCCGUAACUGGUCUGAGAGGAUGAUCAGUCACACUGGAACUGAGACACGGUCCAGACUCCUACGGGAGGCAGCAGUGGGGAAUAUUGGACAAUGGGCGAAAGCCUGAUCCAGCCACGCCGCGUGUGUGAAGAAGGUCUUCGGAUUGUAAAGCACUUUAAGUUGGGAGGAACGGAAGUAAGUUAAUACCUUGCUGUCUUGACGUUACCAACAGAAUAAGCACCGGCUAACUUCGUG